rnacentral:rRNA from 1 species
UACAGAGGGCUCAAGCGUUGUUCGGAUUUAUUGGGCGUAAAGGGUGUGUAGGUGGCGCCGUAAGUGGGGUGUGAAAUUUCGAGGCUUAACCUCGAAACUGCAUUCCAUACUGCGGUGCUUGAGGACUGGAGAGGAGACUGGAAUUUACGGUGUAGCAGUGAAAUGCGUAGAUAUCGUAAGGAAGACCAGUGGCGAAGGCGGGUCUCUGGACAGUUCCUGACACUGAGACACGAAGGCCAGGGGAGCAAACGGG